rnacentral:rRNA from 1 species
GACGAACGCUGGCGGCAUGCUUAACACAUGCAAGUCGAACGGAAAGGCCCUGCUUGCAGGGUACUCGAGUGGCGAACGGGUGAGUAACACGUGGGUGAUCUGCCCUGCACUUCGGGAUAAGCCUGGGAAACUGGGUCUAAUACCGGAUAGGAGCCAUUUUUAGUGUGAUGGUUGGAAAGUUUUUUCGGUGUAGGAUGAGCUCGCGGCCUAUCAGCUUGUUGGUGGGGUAAUGGCCUACCAAGGCGGCGACGGGUAGCCGGCCUGAGAGGGUGGACGGCCACAUUGGGACUGAGAUACGGCCCAGACUCCUACGGGAGGCAGCAGUGGGGAAUAUUGCACAAUGGGCGCAAGCCUGAUGCAGCGACGCCGCGUGGGGGAUGACGGCCUUCGGGUUGUAAACUCCUUUCGCUAGGGACGAAGCUUUUUGUGACGGUACCUAGAUAAGAAGCACCGGCUAACUACGUG